rnacentral:rRNA from 1 species
AGCAGUCGCCGCGGUAAAACGUAGGUCCCGAGCGUUGUCCGGAUUUAUUGGGCGUAAAGCGAGCGCAGGCGGUUAGAUAAGUCUGAAGUUAAAGGUUGUGGCUUAACCAUAGUACGCUUUGGAAACUGUUUAACUUGAGUGCAAGAGGGGAGAGUGGAAUUCCAUGUGUAGCGGUGAAAUGCGUAGAUAUAUGGAGGAACACCGGUGGCGAAAGCGGCUCUCUGGCUUGUAACUGACGCUGAGGCUCGAAAGCGUGGGGAGCAAACAGGAUUAGAUACCCGCGUAGUCCCUGUCUCUUAUACA